rnacentral:rRNA from 1 species
GACGUAGGUGGCAAGCGUUGUUCGGAUUCAUUGGGCGUAAAGGGUGCGUAGGCGGCGCGGUAAGUCGGGUGUGAAAUCUCGGAGCUUAACUCCGAAACUGCAUUCGAUACUGCCGUGCUUGAGGACUGGAGAGGAGACUGGAAUUUACGGUGUAGCGGUGAAAUGCGUAGAUAUCGUAAGGAAGACCAGUGGCGAAGGCGGGUCUCUGGACAGUUCCUGACGCUGAGGCACGAAGGUCAGGGGAGCAAACGGG